AUUACUCAAUAGACACAAAUCAAACCUGUUCAAUAUUUCCUGAUCAAUAUAAUGGAAAUAUCUGCAUUAUUUCAAAAAUGUUUAACGUUGUGAUAUUUGUUUUAGUUUUAUGCAAUUUUUGUAAUGUGGCAAAUGGUCUGAAUACGACGGAAGAGGGUGUUUGCACAGAUCUUUCUGAAAAUCUGAUAUGUUGUUUUAACUACGAACUAAUUAAUGACACAUGUGUGGCAUGUCAGCGUGGAUUCAUCAGACCGAAUGGGAUUUCUUGUGUACCUUGUAACGCAAGCAUGUACGGAAUCCAAUGUCUUGAUUCUUGUACUUGUAGUAUAUUCCAAAG